UGGUCCACGGUCCACUGCAGUCGACUUAUCCCUACAUAAAUGCUGUGCCAUGUGACCUAAAUUCUUACCUUAACAUUCCAAUUCAUACGAUCUGAAAGCCUGCCUAUUCGCUUACUAUGUAGGACAGUUUUGCCUCAGUGGCUAUAGGAUGAAAACUUGGUUAAGAUUUGUUUUUUUUUUCGCCUGGAUACCUCAAAUGAAUGUGUAGUGCUUGAAGGGUCUGAAAGAACUCACUGAGCGUUAUGAUAUAAUGAAGAAAAUUACGUUCAUAAAAGGAUGGCAUGAAACAAAACUGGUUAGCUUUACCCGUCACGAGAUGUUCACGUGAUGAUGAUGCAGUGAUAAAGAGGGAUACCUGUUUAUUAGACGCUGUGCCAGUCAACAAGACAGUCACAAGUUCGGAAGAUCAGUUUGGUCAAGUUUUAAAAAGAGCGGCGAAGCAGCUAAGAAAAGACGCAGGCGAUAGACUCCGGAGACCGCGGACAAAAAGUCUGUCCUGCGGCCUUAAUUAUUGUCUUAACGCCUUCAACCGCUGCAAACAUUUAAGUGGAUAUAUCAUAUUUCGGUAAGAUAGCUGUGGACAAGAUAGCUUGACAUAUUCACAUUGCUAUAACCGGUCUUUCGUGGAAGCCCUGACUGCCUUUGUUCCAUUUUCUUACGACUACAUUUUUGUAUCACUAUCAGAUUUCUCUUCAAUAUGGACACAGGGAGCUUUUAAAAAGUCGCUGGUGUCUGUGUCUGUAUGUGUCUUUGAGACAGCCCCAGGAAGCUACAUUCCCAGAAAGUAGUUAUCUCAGUUUGAUGUGCAUCUCGCUCAACAGUUUCAACACUAGCAUACACUAGUUUUCGUCAGUAUAUCAGAAUACAGAUAUUGAAUAAAAAGUUGAUAAAGUCCUUGAUUGCGAAUUAUGAAUUUUAUGGCUUUAUUUGAAUAGGGAGCAUUCGCUGUAAUCUUUGAAACAUUGCUUUAAUACUGUUGUUAGAGUAGAAUAAGAUGAGACGUGCACUCUGUGGUUGCCUGGUCAGAACUGAUUGUGGACAGACUUGGGGUCUGUCCCUUUAUUGAACUCUUAUUAGAACCAUAUGUGAGGUGGCCCUGUCAUAGCUAGGACCACCUAUGGACAGUAUUAUAGAUCUUCCUGUUAUCCCACAUUGCGACAUCCAUAUGUGUUUCCAAGACUCUUCCCCCCUUACAACAGGUGUCGCCCUCGACACCUUUAAAGUCGUGCGUAAAACGUUACGUUACAAUACAUUUAUUACAUGUUUAAAAUAUAGAGGUCAAAUGUAAACAGAUGAGGUAGCAUAUAGAUCAUAAUCUGGUACGGGUGUGACAGGUAAUUAGCUUCUUCCUGGCAAUGAUGUUUCACAGACGGACUGCUGCUGUGAUAAUGGACUCAUAAUGGGCGUUGGCUGUUACAGGCGCCUGUACUUCAAUCGCACAAACAUAGAAACAACAAACAAGCAAAAACAAUAGGCUUCAUACUGGCACAGCGGCCAAGAAACAACAAUACUCCCUAGCAGUACUCAGUCUUCCAGGCAGUCACACAGCUACAGUGCGCACGUGGCCGGGCAUACAGACAUGAGAAUAGUCGUCCCGUAGGCUUAACUAUCUACUAAAGCAAGCAUCGUACAA